GCGUAUGGAUAACUCGUGGGUGGGUCCGCCCUGCGCUCACCCCCGCAGAUUUUUUGUACCCGCCCGUGCAAGGAAACCACCAAACCGAUUAGCCAAACCCACCCCCCUCGUCAAUCAGCCCAAGAGGGGGAGAAAAGGACAGCAAGAACAGCAGCGGCGGCAGAGCAGGCCAACCACCGGUCGUAGCGGAGGCGGGGGGGAUCCAUCCAAGUGGCAGCCAUGGUGGGCCUGGUAGACGGCAGCGCGCGGGGCUGGAGGCUCAGCGACGAGGCGGCAACCAGCGGCGCCGGUCGGGGAGGAGGAGGAGGAGGGGUCACCGCAGCGGCGGACCACAUGCGGCGGCUGCACAGCCACGCUCUCGGCGAGCACCAGUGCAGCUCCACCCUCCUCAAGCACAUCAAGGCCCCCGUCCACCUCGUAUGGUCGCUGGUGCGGAGCUUCGACCAGCCGCAGCGGUACAAGCCGUUCGUCAGCCGCUGCGUCGUGCGCGGCGGCGACCUCGAGAUCGGCAGCCUGCGGGAGGUCAACGUCAAGACUGGCCUGCCGGCGACCACCAGCACCGAGAGGCUCGAGCAGCUGGACGACGAAGAGCACAUCCUCAGUGUCAAGUUCGUCGGCGGCGACCACCGGCUCAGGAACUACUCAUCUAUCAUAACUGUCCACCCGGAGAGCAUUGAUGGGAGACCGGGUACGCUUGUGAUCGAGUCCUUUGUGGUUGAUGUGCCUGACGGCAAUACAAAGGAUGAAACUUGCUACUUUGUUGAGGCUGUGAUCAAGUGCAACCUCACAUCUCUCGCUGAGGUUUCAGAGCGGCUAGCGGUCCAGUCACCUACAUCGCCACUUGAGCAAUAGCAUCUUCACCGGCACGGACAUGUGAAUCAGCAUGAAUAAGCGUCAAAUGCUACCUGGAAAUUUCAACCUUUUUCAGACUGCGUCAAGUUAGGUUGCCGACCCACUUUGAAUGUCGACGAUAGUAAUGAGGACGAGGAGAUAAGUCCAUUCUUAUAUGCUUCCAUCAGUAAGUACUCCAGCUUUCCAGCCAAGGAAUCACUUCAAGCGCUAGAGGCUACUGAAAAGGUUUCUACCUUCUAGAGAGGAGAAAAUCCUUGCUGGACCAAACAAUUCGGGCACUGCUUGCAUUUGCUUCUAACAUCGCAUCGCAUGACUAAGAGUCGAGGAAGAAGUGUUCGAUGGCGGCUAUUCACGGCGGUUGAGGACUCGUCCACGGCCAGUGGGGGCUGAGCCCACGGCCGCCGGCGGCGGAGGCCCCGGCCCAUGGGCACCAGAUCAGGGAGGCCGGGGCGGCGCCACAAGGGAGGCGCGCGAGGAGGAAGCAGUCGGGCCCAUGGUGAUUAGGCUCGCCGACGGCGGAUGCGUGCGCAGCGACGGAAGUGGAGGAGGGGGGAGGAGUUGUGGGAGGCCAUGUCCUCCUGCGCGCGGUCGAGGUACGGCUUCAAGCCCGACGCGCGCGCGAGAGAGAGGCGAGAGAGAGACCGCCUGGGAUUUUGAGGAGAGAUAGUACCGCUGGGACCCACCACCAUCUGAUAAGGAUCAACGUCAUUCAAAAGGGUUUUAGGUCAA